GACGAACGCUGGCGGCGUGCUUAACACAUGCAAGUCGAACGGAAAGGCCCUGCUGUUGUGGGGUGCUCGAGUGGCGAACGGGUGAGUAACACGUGAGUAACCUGCCCUUGACUUUGGGAUAACUUCAGGAAACUGGGGCUAAUACCGGAUAGGAGCUCCUGCGGCAUGGUGGGGGUUGGAAAGUUUCGGCGGUUGGGGAUGGACUCGCGGCUUAUCAGCUUGUUGGUGGGGUAGUGGCUUACCAAGGCUUUGACGGGUAGCCGGCCUGAGAGGGUGACCGGCGACAUUGGGACUGAGAUACGGCCCAGACUCCUACGGGAGGCAGCAGUGGGGAAUAUUGCACAAUGGGCGGAAGCCUGAUGCAGAAACGCCGCGUGCGGGAUGACGGCCUUCGGGUUGUAAACCGCUUUCGCCUGUGACGAAGCGUGAGUGACGGUAAUGGGUAAAGAAGCACCGGCUAACUACGUG
rnacentral:rRNA from 1 species